GAGCGGACCGGCCGCCAUGUUGAAGCUCGGGAGAUGCUGAGGGCCGAGGCUUUGGGGCUCGUGGAGCUGAGAGGCGGCGUGGUGAGAACGGGGAGGCCGAGGACGUGGGGGUUGAUAGCCUAGAGCGCUGGCUGGGGCUGGACGGAGACUCCGCUGGGGAUGGGCAGGGCCGUCGGACCGGAGAUGGCCUCGCGAGUCGGCGUGAGCCUCCCCGAGCCGGGCUUGCACAGGGCCUCACGCCUUUCCCUCGGCUUUCUUACCGGGGGACCCAGGGAGCCGCUUCACUUCCGGGCGUGGAGGACCCCUUAGACCUCGUAGCGGGACGAUCUGGGCAGAAGGGGUCCACGUUGUGCUACGGGGACGGGACGGCGGGCCUCGCGCCUCUGAGACGAGACGCCCUCUUGCACCCGACGAGUGGAGCUAAGCCUAGGUCGAUUCUUUUUUUCUUUUUUUCUUUUUUUUGUCGUCUUGCCUUUUUCCCCCCCUCAUUCCUCCAUGCCCUCUUCCUCAGAUGUGUUCCCCCCCACCCACCCAAACACACACCGAAUCGUCAUCCCGUAAUGAUUUUCAAAGGGCUUUAGAGAAAUCGUUGGCAGACAACCGAGCGGGAAGGAUCUUAUCUUUGGCCCUAAAGAGAAGAAAGACAAGGAGCUACCAAAAGAAGUUAUCGUCUAAUCUAUCUUAACCCCCUUCGCCCCCCGCGAAAGUGCAAGACAUUGAAAAAAUUCUGAAGUUGACUGUGGAAAGAUGGCAAAGUUUACUUCGUAUAUUCAGAGAGUCUCUGAAAGGUUAAAAAUGCAGAUAAACAUAAUUUGUGUUGCUUUUUCUCCCUCUUUUGCAUUUACUUUGAAAACCGAGUUUUGUGCAGGAGAUGUUAACACAGUGAUGAGAAUUCACCUAGCAUACUCAAGGCCCUGGAUUGGAUCCCCAGCCCUGGUUUGUUUAUAUCAGUGAAAAUACACAGUGUCCCUCUGUAAGAAGUUAAUAAAGUUCAACUGAUCGAUAGAUCUUCCUUUCAAAAAACCAAGCAGACUGAUUUUUUUAAAUUGACAAAACACAAUAGGAGUCAAAGGCAUCUGCAGAUGGUGGCCGUUAAAAACGGCUUGCAAGGAUCCAGCUUAUGUUCUGUUGUGAGAAGAAGCCAGGGGAGUGGCAAAAGCCUCAAAUACUGCUGUUCUGCCUGUAAUGAUGAUUUUAACAGGUUUGGACAAUUGGAGGGGCACUAUAGGACAUGUGUUUGCAAAACUAUAUGCUGAAAAACUGUGUUGAUGAACAUAGCCAUUUCAGGAAAUUUAGGUAUGCAGAGAUGUUCAGCUGUAACCAGUUAUGUAAGUAGCUUAUUUAACCCCCGUCUUAGAAGCCAAAGUCCCCUCCUAAUCGUUGCACAGUGGCCACUUCCUGAAGGAAUUUGAGGACAUUUAACUUCCACUCUUCUGAGAGACCCAGCCAAGAAGACAAAGGAGAGGAUAUCUGAAAUACUUUUGCAAUAAUUUUCCUGAUCAAGUGCAAGUGUCUGGAAAAUGUAUGCUUGGCUGUAUCUAGUGCCCCUGGUACAUGCAUGCGAAGAGCUUAGUAACACAAGUGAAUAGAAGAGCAAUAUUAGAGAAUGUUAAAUCCAAGAGCAUUAUGGAAACCAUGCGUAGGAUUAGUCUGCUCAGUAAGUAAGCACUGGAGUUGUUCCUAAUGUAUCCUAAGGUAACAUUCUCGACAGAAAUCAAGUACUGACAUCAUACAUAUUUAUGUUACAGGAAUUAACCAUAGUUUUAAGUUUUAAGCUCACAUCCAGGCCAUCCAGGUGACUGAGCAGGUAAACCUAACCUGAGUUUGAACCCCAAAACCCAAUGGGGAGCUCCUGAAAUCUGCCCUCUGACCUUGUGUCUGCCAGCCUGAACUCUCGCACAUACACAUUAUACACUUAACAAUUUUUUUUAGAAGUCUACAGAGUUCCAGGACAGGCUCCAACGCUAUCUAAAAAAUGAAGCAUAAAAGAACAGGUCUGCCUGGCCAUAGAGGAAGUGAGACUACAGCUGGUUGGUUCAACCAAAGGUCCACUGCAUAGGAACUCCUACUCAAGAGAAGCAAAAAGAAAAUUACAUUCUUGAGUUUUUCAACUCUGCACAUAUCACCAGUAACAGACCUGGUGAAAAAGUUCUGUUUAAAGCACACCACCUGUGCAUGGUUUCAAAAACGUACCAGGCCUUGGGAAAUUUGAGUUCAGAGCUGUUUUGUAGAUGCCAAGCUCGUAUCUCAGAAAAAAACAUCCUGGUUGCUGGGAUUAAAGGUAUGUACUAUUUCUAGCUUAGAACUGCAUACAUUUGUAAAAAGUUUAAAUGCAUUUAAUUACUUUGCUGCAAUAAUUUUCUCUAUUUUUGCCCUCACAGUGUAAUCAUCCUUCAGCUACAAGAAAAGUAGUUCCAAGAUGUUGGAAAUUUGUACUUAUGAGUCACAUCAACAGUUCUUAAUUCCUCCACACAACUGUUUUCACAUGCUUGUCCAGAAGGAAAUGCAGUUUAGGCAGAAACAUUCUUUAGACAAAGGAAAUAAUAAUAAUAAUAAAGGCAAAGAAUGAUUCCCCACCCCUUGGUCCACAUAGGGAGCCCUAGGCCAGUGUCAAAUUGGUAUUUGAAGAAGAUAGAAUAUCAUUCAACAAGAAAAUUGAGCAACUGACAGUGAAACCUGACCCCGUCAGUACUGAUAUUACUUACUGUAAGUGAUCCUUAGUAACAAGCACUGAUUGCUGUGAUGCCCAGUGCCGAGGUGGGUGGGCACAUUAUAAUACAUACAUGGACACUUCCUUUCUGACCUCAAAGAUCUUGAGUGCUGCAUUGUUACUGAUCCUAACUACGUACAACAAAGGACUUCUAUUUCCCUUUCAGAACAUAUGGUACUAAAAAUACAGAAGAUGUGUUAACAUUUUCAGAAUAACUAUUUUGACUUCUGGAGCCAAAGUCUUACAUUGUAGUCCACGUUAGCCUCAAACUUGGUCAUCCAUUUGCAUUUGCCUCCUGAGUGCUAGUAUUUUUUUAAAUAGUUUACUUUUCAUGUGUUUGAAGGAGAUUAUAUAUAUUAUAUAUAUAAUAUAUAUAUAAUGUCUUGAUGCUGGAGGAGGCCAGAGUUCUCCCCAGAACUAAGUAUCCAGCUUGUGUACUGAGACCCAAACUCCAGCCCUCUGCUAGAACAGCAUCCACUCUUACCCACUGGACCAUCUCACCAUCUCCUAGAGAUCUACUUUUAUUUUUUACUUUUAGUUCAUUCAGUCUACAUGGUACUACUUCCUUUUUUUAUUAUUAUUUAUUCUUCAACCCACUCCACAGUCUUUGUUACAGGUCUCAAUUUGUCCAGGUUAUGAUUUAGAAUCCUCAUGUUUCAGCCUUGCAGGAGAUGGAAUUACAGGCUGCCAUACCGUUUUAAAAACACAUAGGUGGCAGGUGUGGUGCGUGCCUUUAUUCUAGCACCUGGGAGGAAGAAGCAGUGGAUCUCUAAAUUCAAGACCAUCUUCCUCUAUGUAGAGUCCCACAACAGCCAAAGCUGCAUAGCCUUAACCAAUUUUUUAAAAAUCUAGGAACAAAUUACUUUUACCUCUUUGCCAGGAAAUUGUAGUCUGUUUCUUGGGAACUAAUAGGAGUAGAAAUAAUACCUUGAAGGUGUAUAAAACCCUCUACAAAAGCUGAUUGCGAUAGCAAAGCAGUUCGAAUUUCUAGCCCCCUUUUUCACUGUAGCAUGACUUGUUCACACAUUGGCAAGCUGCAUGUAGCAGCCAGAUAGUGUUGGGACAUGAAUGUGCCCUUCUGCAAGGCAAGUACACACUUGUGUCAUUGUUUAAUGCUCAUGUUCAAUUACAGUACUGAUAAGUUGCUUAGUUCUUUUAAUAUUAGGUUUAUCACAUUUUGUGCUAGAGCUUUUUGAGACCAGGAAAUAAGUAGAUUUCCAUUCUUUGGGCUGGAUGGGAGACUCAAUCCCUGAUUCCCAGUGUGACAACUAGCUUGCAACAAGGACAAGUAGAACAGCCCAAUGUAUUUAGGAUUUAUGAGGUACUGAGAUCAAUUAAGAGCAUAUGCUCUUGCAGAGAUCCCAGUGCCUAUAUCCAGUGUCUCACAACUGUGUGUAAUUACAGUUCCAGAAGACCUAACACCCUCUUGCUUCCAUGGGCCUGUGCAUGAAUGUGAUACGCAUGCGCUCAGGUGUAAAAACUUUUUUAGGUGUUAAGUUUGUCAUCUACUGAGUGCCAUGACUCUAAAAUUAAUGCAGUAACAAGUAUAUCUUAUUAAGAUAUGCCUGCAAAAUAUCUCUAGAACAAGUAAGUGGAAAGGAGUUCUGCCCUCAAUUGGUAUUUAUGUUUUUAAAGCUGAAUGCCUGUGUUCCCAUUGCCCACAGAGGUCAGAAGAGGUUGGUAGAUUCCCCGGAACUGGAGUUCUGAAUGGUUGUAAGCACCCAGAUGAGUACUGGGAACUGAGCCCAGGUCGUCUCUGAGAGUAGCAUGUGCUCUUAACCUCCUGUCCCCCAAUUUCAAUUUUUUUUUUCUUCCAGUUUCUCUCUGUAGCCCUAGCUGUCCUGGAACUCUUUUUGUAGACCAGUCUGCCCUUGAACUCACAGAGAUCUGCCUGCCUCUACCUCCUAAGUUCUGGGAUUAAGAAAGUGUACCACCACCGCUUGCUAGUUUUAAUUUUGUUUUUAUGGUAGGGAUUUUCUGUAGCUUUGGAGCCUGCCCUGGAACUAGCUCUUGUAGACCAUUCUGGCCUCGAACUCAUAGAGAUCUGCCUGCUCCUGCCUCCCGAGUGCUGGGGUUAAAGGCAUGCACCACCACCACCCAGCUCCGGCCUUAAAAUUUUUUUAAUGAGAGCUGGGGGAAUAGUGUAAUGAUACUAUGCAUGUAUGCAAGGCUCUACAUUUGAUCAGAAGGUUACAUCCCUUGGCUGGCCUUUAACUCAAAUCUGCCUGCUUCUGUUGAGUGCUGGAAUUAAAGCAUAUGCCACCCAGUCUAAUAAGGUUUGCCAUUAUAGCCCAGCAAUAUGAAAGAAUAUUGAAGGAUCUGCAUUCCUUAAUUCUAGCAUUAAAGCUCAACUAAUUGUGUAAGUAGUGGGUUCUAUGAUCAAAUUCCACAUAACCUUUCCCUCUGCCCUCUUGUCCACUUACAUUUGGGAAUUAAUUGCAUUGGGAACUUGGGACUGUAGCUGGUAGUUGGUUGUGUUUGCCUCAUAUGCACAAAGCCCUGUAUUUUUUGUCUCACCACUGCAAUAAAUCAUACAUGUAACUCUAACAGGAGGUAAAGAAGUUCAAGGUCUUCCUGACCUAUAUAGUGAGCUCAGAAGCCAGCAUGAAAUCCUG